UUUUUUUUUUUUUUUUUAAUGACUGCAGUAUUCAUUUUAUUUUUAUAUUAUUUAUUUAUUCUUCCUUAGUUUCUUGAGAUUAUCAUCCGCUGAGGGUGGAAGGGGAGUGAGCAGACACACUCAGGAGGUGUCUUGAGAUUAUCAUCCGCUGAGGGUGGAGCUGAGGGUGGAAGGGGAGUGAGCAGACACUCGGGAGGUGUCUUGAGAUUAUCAUCCGCUGAGGGUAGAGCUGAGGGUGGAAGGGGAGUGAGCAGACACUCGGGAGGUGUCUUGAGAUUAUCAUCCGCUGAGGGUGGAAGGGGAUAGAGCACACACUCGGAAGGUGUCUUGAGAUUAUCAUCCGCUGAGGGUAGAGCUGAGGGUGGAAGGGGAGUGAGCAGACACUCGGGAGGUGUCUUGAGGCUCAGGGAGUUAUCAAUUAUAGAAUGUUGUUGAGUUGGAGGAGGUGGCUGGUGGCCCAUCCUGUUUUUUAAAGUUUCAGCUGUGAGGUAGGGCCAGUAGGGCAAUCCUG
rnacentral:lncRNA from 1 species